rnacentral:rRNA from 1 species
GACGAACGCUGGCGGCGUGCUUAAUACAUGCAAGUCAACUGAACUUUAGGUAGCAAUAUUUAAAGGGAGGUGGCGCACGGGUGAGUAACACGUAGGUAAUCUGCCUUCAGGACUGACAUAACUCCGCGAAAGCGGGACUAAAAUCAGAUGAUGCAGCGGCUCGACAUCGAGACAGUUGUUAAACCUUCGGGGCCUGAAGAUGAGCCUGCGUCUGAUUAGGUAGUUGGAGGGGUAAUGGCCCACCAAGCCUGCGAUCAGUAGCUGGUCUGAGAGGAUGAUCAGCCACACUGGAACUGAGACACGGUCCAGACUCCUACGGGAGGCAGCAGUAAGGAUAUUGCUCAAUGGCCGAAAGGCUGAAGCAGCAACGCCGCGUGGAGGAUGAAAUACUUUAGUAUGUAAACUCCUGUAAGAGGGAAAAUAUACAGUUCUGCUGUAUUGAUUGUACCUCAGAGUAAGCACCGGCUAACUACGU